GUCUUAAUAGCAAGGGGAAAAUAUUAUGGACAGGGUCAUUUGAUGAACUACAAGCUUUCGUAGAAGAAACGUUGAACUUAACGGGCGGGAAAUGGCUCUCCCCUGGAGGCGAUGCUAAGCUGUACCAAAAUCAAGCGACAGCAAUUAAGUGGUAUGGAAACUCAAAAACGUUAACUGUCAGCGAGGACACCAUAGGAUCAAUCGAGGAACAAC